rnacentral:misc_RNA from 1 species
AAAAAAUAAAAAAUAAAAAUUAGGUCUUGUCUAAUUCUGUUUUAUCUGUUAUUAGUUCUGAUGCAUCCUUACUGUGUUAGACUAUGUGUGUCCUUUCUUGCUUGAACUUUUAAAGGUUAAGCAUGUCUAGGCCACUGGUAUAAUAUCCACAGGUCAUCUGAAUGUUGGUAAUGUAGAAUGUCAAGGGAAGAAUGAUGUGGAACCGAUAGAACACUUUCAAAGGAGAAGAACUCUCAAAUUUAGUUUUAAUUAUCAAUUGUCAUAUAACAAAACUCUGGCAAAAUACCUAAACUACACAGGUAUUUAUAUACUAAUAUUAAUAA